GAAAACUUAGAACCAUUCAUGAAAUUCGUGGUCCCAACAGCUUAUAUCUUCACAGAAUCCAUAUUUAUAUUUAUAGGUAUGUGGCUAUCUUCUUCAUCUUUUUUUCUGAUUCACUUAUUGUUAAACUGAAUUCUCAUCUUCCUCGUUACAUAUCUCUUCCUGUGCGGAUGAAAUCGCUGAUAAGGUGAGUGUAUCAUGGUUCAACAAUGUUAGGGCUUCAAAAUCCACAAGCCAUUAGCAGCUGUCAGUCAUUUCUGGAUACUAGUGUGCUACAUGAACUCAUUCCUUGCAAGAGUAAAAAUGUCAAUCCUUCGAUAAGUAAUCUUAGUUCCGCUACCCUUGUGAGGUCUCCUGCUAAAGGAGUCAGCAGUUGUUCUUUUUCUUGGAACUGGCCAAAUCAACUGAAAACUUAUAAACUCUCUCAGCAGUCCGCUUCAUAUAGAUUGCUGUGUCGGUCACAAGAUGCUACUUCACCUGAAAAUGAGUAUCGCUCCUCCAGAAAUAUAGCCAUCAGUCUGUUCAGGCGAUACAAGAAUUUUCUUGAGCGCGGAGGAGGUGACAACUUAAAAGAGUUCAUCAGUGCCGGUGUGAAUGCAUAUGCUUUGGGAUGUACUGAUGAAGGAUUGAGGAAAGAACUGUUUUCUUUGAAGGAAUCAGGUGUUGAAAUUGAAGCCAUGGAAACAUAUGGAGGAAGUACCAGCCUGAAAUCCAAGAUUUUAUCUGUGGAGGUUGAUGAGUGUAUUAUGUGGUUGAGCAUUAUAUUCAUCACCAUCCUAUGUACACCUCAACCAACUAUAGUUCGAUGGUCAUCCACAUCCCCAGUUUCUGAUGAAAUGAUAGUCCAGUGGAAGGGCUUCUGUGCAAUCAUAGCAAAUGCAUACUUUGUGAGAGGAAUGGCAUGGCUCCCAGUGAAGACUCUCCAACUAGAGCAGAUGGCAGUUGCCGGCCAUGCUGAAGAGCCAUCAGUUGUUGCUAGCCGGAUGAGAUUAGUUUUUACCACUCUAGAGAGUUAUUGGAUACUUGUGCUGGUGAGAGGUAGCAAGUACCCCAUGGAAUUAGUCAAAUUGAGCACAAGCUGAUCCAGAUACUACGGUUAUAAACUAAUAAUAAUAAUGACAAUUAGUAUUAACAUAAAAAACUAAUUCCUUCAACAUCAGAGAAUAAUGAGGAUGUAAAUGAUAUCUCAACUGUUGGACUACUAAUCUACAGAUGGUGAUUAUUACUGUAUAUCCUUCUAUAAGAUGUUCGUAAAAGGUUGUGAGUCCACAGUGGCCUAGAGGAUGAAGCAGUAGAUCCAGAAUCUGGACUUAACAGAUAUGUAGUUCAACAAGAUAUGUACACAUUUCUUUCCUUUGUCCAUUCUCUGUUAACAUUAAUAUUCUACUACAUCAAUGUAUGUUCAACGUGCAAACUUCCAUUAAAUCUUCAGAGAGCAAAGAAUAUAAAAAGGAUAUAUUGAGUGAAUCA